UGGCCUCUAGCCUGAGUCUGAAGAGCUACAUUGUAGCUAAAAAUCCCCAUAGCCUGAGGACUGUGGGUCUAAGUCAGAUGACAUGGACCAGCUGUGGGUAUUUAAUUGCAGUGCAGACAUGCCCUCUGACUCUGGCAUAGAGCACUGGCUCCCAGGCUAUUUUCCUGAAGUCCUUCCACAAGAGCCCAACUUGCUCCUUAUGACUUCUCUCAAAGGGAGUUCUCUCAGACCUGUUAAAAACAUCACCCAGAUGAUCAGGACCAGCUGCUGCUGCUGGGAUGGAUGACCCUACAUGUGGCUGAACUGAAAAAUUGUUUGCUUUCACCCAUUUUACCAACUGAUCCAGAGUGCUCUGUAGUAAUGACCAGCAGAGGAUGACAAUACUGGAAAGCAGAUACUCAAAAAGCAAAACUCAAAGCUGUGCUCAAAGCCAAUUUACAGCAGUAGAUAAAAGUCACAGUCUGUCUAGACCACAAUAGAGCAGGCAAAAGCCUAGGCCUGGGAGCCUCCCGCAGAUACUAUAUUUAACAGCAGCCUCUAAAUAGAACAAGACUUUAGAGGGGAUUAGAAAGUACAACUGUCUGGCCUUAAGGAAAAAAUGCUAGCAAUUGCAUUAAAUUGACAAUUGUGCCAAAUAUCUGUAGAUAGUGAUAGUGUGAAAAAUAAUAAAAGGAGACCUAUAAAUAGCAUCUUCUUAGAAUCUUAAUAUUUGAGUGUAGCUUUCAGAAAGCUAUAAGCAGGCUUUCUUAAGACAGCAGUAUACCACCUAUAUAUGAUGUAAGUGGUGCUGAUUAACAGAUAUAACUGCUGUGCACACCACCACCUACCUCUUUUAUGGCAGUAAGCAGCUAUGGUGAAAAAGAGGUGGGACACACCCGUUGCAAAAAGAUGCCUAUUGGACAAAGCACGGCAACAAAGGGAAAUUACAGUGAAAAGUCUCAUUCAUUAGGAGCCUUAUGUUUGAGUUUGGCGUUAAAGGCCCGUUUGAUCUGCGAUGCUGAUUGUGCCGCGGGGUUUAAUCGGCAAGUAGUAAUACAACGCCUGGCGGGUAGUGGGGCGCUAUAGCAAUGCCAGCAGCAUGGCCCCACACCAGCAAGCGAUCAGGCCGUUCUGCUUCCCGGGGAACAGGAGGU